UCGACGACUCAAACGGCAGCAAGAAAAAUGAGGGACUUUCAGGGGCAGCUGUGUUUUACUGACCCAGUCAUAAUGCCCCUAAAAAUCCUUAUUGUUCUUGCAAUGUGCAUCUGGCAUCUACU
rnacentral:pre_miRNA from 13 species